UAAUAAGUGUUUUAUGGCACUUUUUAAAUCCAUAUCCACCUUGUGUGCAAUGUCAGGGUUGAUUUCUCUCUCGGGAGAGAUCAGCCCCAAACAUCAACUAUUAUCUCAACUCUUUGUCUGAAAAAUAUUAUGAAUAAAAACAAUUCAAAAUA
rnacentral:misc_RNA from 1 species